UGGGGAAUAUUGCACAAUGGGCGCAAGCCUGAUGCAGCCAUGCCGCGUGUAUGAAGAAGGCCUCGGGUUGUAAAGUACUUUCAGCGGGGAGGAAGGGAGUAAAGUUAAUACCUUUGCUCAUUGACGUUACCCGCAGAAGAAGCACCGCCUAACUCCGUGCCAGCAGCCGCGGUAAUACGGAGGGUGCAAGCGUUAAUCGGAAUUACUGGGCGUAAAGCGCACGCAGGCGGUUUGUUAAGUCAGAUGUGAAAUCCCCGGGCUCAACCUGGGAACUGCAUCUGAUACUGGCAAGCUUGAGUCUCGUAGAGGGGGGUAGAAUUCCAGGUGUAGCGGUGAAAUGCGUAGAGAUCUGGAGGAAUACCGGUGGCGAAGGCGGCCCCCUGGACGAAGACUGACGCUCAGGUGCGAAAGCGUGGGGAGCAAACAGG
rnacentral:rRNA from 1 species